AUGCACGCUGGCGGCGUGCCUAAUACCUGCAAGUCGCGCGAACAGACGAGGAGCUUGCUCCUCUGACGUUAGCGGCGGACGGGUGAGUAACACGUGGAUAACCUACCUAUAAGACUGGGAUAACUUCGGGAAACCGGAGCUAAUACCGGAUAAUAUAUUGAGCCGCAUGGUUCAAUAGUGAAAGACGGUUUUGCUGUCACUUAUAGAUGGAUCCGCGCCGCAUUAGCUAGUUGGUAAGGUAACGGCUUACCAAGGCAACGAUGCGUAGCCGACCUGAGAGGGUGAUCGGCCACACUGGAACUGAGACACGGUCCAGACUCCUACGGGAGGCAGCAGUAGGGAAUCUUCCGCAAUGGGCGAAAGCCUGACGGAGCAACGCCGCGUGAGUGAUGAAGGUCUUCGGAUCGUAAAACUCUGUUAUUAGGGAAGAACAAAUGUGUAAGUAACUAUGCACGUCUUGACGGUACCUAAUCAGAAAGCCACGGCUAACUACGUG
rnacentral:rRNA from 1 species